rnacentral:lncRNA from 10 species
GUCGGGGAGGCUCCCUCCCGCACAGGAGCCCACGGAGGAGGGCGGGGAGGCUCAGUCAUGGCGGGCUGCAGGUCCUGACCCCUGCCCCGCGGGAAGGCAGCUAAGGCCUGGCGAGAAAUCGAGGGCAGCGCCCGUGGGCCGGCACUGCUGGGGGACCCAGCACACCCUCUGCAGCCGCUGGCCCAGGUGCUAAGCCGCUCAUUGCCGGGGCCGGCAGGGCCUGCCGGCUGCUCCCAGUACGGGGCCGCCAAGCCCACGCCCACCCGGAACUCCAGCUGGCCCGCAGGCGCAGCGCGCAGCCUGGGUUCACGCUCGCGCCUCUCCCUCCACACCUCCCUGCAAGCUGAGGGAGCCAGCUCCGGCCUAGGCCAGCCCAGGAAGGGGCUCUCACAGUGCAGCGGCGGGCUGAAAGGCUCCUCAAGUGCCGCCAAAGUGGGAGCCCAGGCAGAGGAGGCGCCGAGAGCGACUGAGGGCUGCCAGCAUGCUGUCACCUCUCACUAGUUUAGGAAAAUUCUGUUGACCUAUAAUGAAGUUUACAGAUUUUUCCUCAUAUCUGUCCAGUCUACGGAUUAGAUCUUCAAAGAGAUGAAAUCCCACUAUUUUGCCCAGGCUCAUCUAUAACUUCUGAGCUCAAGACAUCCUCCUGCUUUGACCUUCCAAAGUGCUGGGAUAGGGGUUUUGUGCAAAUAUCUGCUGAGUGAACUACUUAUUUGAAAAUACAUCAUUGGUUAAUAUUCCCUUUUGCUCAUUGAAAUCUCAAAGACUACAGGUGUGGUGCAAUUCCAUUAGAUGAAAGAGAUCUACACAUUCAGAAGCACAUGAUUCUUCCCCCUUCCAUGAUUCCAGUGGCCAAUAGAAUGGAGUGUAGUGGCGUGAUCUUGGCUCACAACAACUUCUGCUUCCCACAUUCAAGCGAUCCUCCCACCUUAUACUCCUGAGUAGCUGGAACCACAGACAAACUACAAUAAAGCCAUGCCCUGACUGGAUGUGCCUAACAUUUGUCUGGUGCUUAAAGGAGUUGGCUGCAUGCGUGGAAAUGUUGGAAAGUCACCAAAAAUAGUUCUCCAAGUCAGAAGCGGUGCAAAAGCUGCCUCAGCUCUUGGUGGAUUUUCAAUUUCUCCCAGCCAUCUCUGUUUCGCUAAAGGUUUCUGAAGACAGUGGAAUGCUGUUGAAGACACCACCUUGAUAAAACAAAAACAUCAGCCAAAUUAAAUUUAAAGGAGUUUAAUUGAGCAAAGAAUUAUUCAUGAAUCAAGCAGUCUUCCAAGCCAGAGUAGGCUCAAAUACUCCAGCACAGCCACGUGGUGGAAGAUUUAUGGACAAAAGAAGAAAAGUAACAUAUAGAAAAUGGAAAUGAGGGGAAGCUUUUUUCUCCUCCCCAUCCUGAUCACUAGUAUGAGAAGGGGUGCUAAUGGACCAGCCUUGGCCUUGCAGAUGAAGAUGAUGAAGGAAGAAGAUGUAUAAAGAACCUCUGAAAGAGUCCCAGUUUUACAUUUCAAAGUCUUUUUCCUUCUGUUGUUUAUUGUGUUGGGUUGGAGUGGAGGAUAUUUGAUGGAGAAUUGAUUCUGAAACUUGCCAAAAUAUGGAUAAUACUUUGCUCCUUUUCCAUUGUGGGUUAUCACAAAGAAGAGUUUCACUUUUAGUCAUCUAUUUACAGGUACGGCAAUAGCUAUUUUCUUUUUCUUUUUUUUAUUUUAGGUUUUAUUUUAGGUACAUGUGAAGGUUUCUUGUAUAGGUAAACUAGUGUCAUGUGGGAUUGUUGCACAGAUUAUUUUAUCAACCAGGUAUUAAGGAAGCUCAGUACCCAAUAGUUAUAUUUUCUGCUCCUCUCCCUCAUCCCACUCUCCACCCUGAGGUCGACCCCAGUGUCUGUUGUUUCCUUCUUUCUGUUAAUGAGUUCUCAUCAUUUAGCUCCCACUUAUAAGUGAGAACAUGUGCUAUGUGUUUUUCUGUUCCUGUGUUAGUUGGCUAAGGAUAAUGGCCUCCAGCUCCAUUUUUGUUUCCCUCUCCAGCAUCUGUUUUUUUUUUUAAUUUUUAGUAAUAUCCAUUCUGACUGGUAUGAGAUGGUAUCUCAUUGUGGUUCUGACUUGCAUUUCUGUAAUGGUCAAUGAUGUUCAGCUUUUCUUUUCAUGUGCUUGUUGCCCACAUGUAUGUUUUGUUUUGAAAAGUGUUUGUUCGUGUCCUUUAUCCACUUUUCAAUGGGGUUGUUUGCUUUUCUCUCGUAAAUUUGUUUAAUUUCCUUAUAGAUGUUAUGACCUAGCAGCUGUACCUUUUUUAAUUUCAAGACAUUCAAUAAACUAAGAACCAACAGCACAGUUGAUGUGUCUUUCCAUGACACCUGCCAUCUUUCCUCUCUUCAUAGCUAUAAGAAUAUUUUGGAAGAAGAGUUGCUGAUAAAUGCCACUUAGGGAAUCUCUGAGCAUCUGUUAUUAUAAAUGGUUGACUAAAAUUUAGGGUAAAGCAUCCUAUUAAAAAUGAAGUUAAGGACUUUAUGUAGAACUUUAAAAUUUGUCCCCCAAAUCCUGUUGUAUGUCAACAUAUUAUAAAAUAAAUUGUAAAUAUCAUAACUCAGCAAAAGAACAUCAUCUAAAACUCAUUAAGAAUUUAAUGUUGAGUAUAUCAGUGACACAAAAUCAUGAGGCAAGAUGGUUUAAAUAUGUUACAAAUAAUAAUAAAUAAUCAUACCCUCUGAGUUUAAAUUCUUUAUCACCCUGUAUGUACUGCCACUCAACACUUGACUUCAGGGCCAUAAUCCUUAGUGAACCCAUCUAACAUCCACCUAAAAUAAAGGUUUGGAGCCACUCUUCUAUGCUUAACAAAUAGCCUUAAGCAUCAUGAAUAAACAGAGACAGGCUAGCUCCUUUUUGCUCUAUAGCCUUAAGUAGUUCUGACCAUGACUAGAAAGACAUAGCUGCAAGCAGCCUGAUCUUUUUUUAACAUCUUGACUUUUUGCAAGGUAUUUCUAAAAUAUGUUACUAAUAUGUACUUCUUGGUUGUUUUACUAAUAUUUGAAAGAACUAAAGUUAUCAUUAGUCACGUUUCAUUUGAAACUACAGAAGCAAUAAAAACAACAAAGUUCCAAUAUAAAAUCCAUUAUUAAAUAGCUUUCAACAUAAUAGAUUAUUUACUACAAAAUAGCAA